rnacentral:rRNA from 1 species
GGUGGUGCAUGGUUGUCGUCAGCUCGUGUCGUGAGAUGUUGGGUUAAGUCCCGCAACGAGCGCAACCCUUGAUUUUAGUUGCCAGCAUUUAGUUGGGCACUCUAAAGUGACUGCCGGUGCAAGCCGGAGGAAGGUGGGGAUGACGUCAAAUCAUCAUGCCCCUUAUGACCUGGGCUACACACGUGCUACAAUGGAUAGUACAAAGGGUCGCGAAGCCGCGAGGUGGAGCUAAUCCCAUAAAACUAUUCUCAGUUCGGAUUGUAGGCUGCAACUCGCCUACAUGAAGCCGGAAUCGCUAGUAAUCGUGGAUCAGCAUGCCACGGUGAAUACGUUCCCGGGCCUUGUACACACCGCCCGUCACACCACGAGAGUUUGUAACACCCGAAGUCGGUAGGGUAACCUUUAUGGAGCCAGCCGCCGAAGGUGGGACAGAUAAUUGGGGUGAAGUCGUAACAAGGUAGCCGUAUCGGAAGGUGCGGCUGGAUCACCUCCUUUCUAAGGAA